rnacentral:rRNA from 1 species
AACGUAGGAGGCAAGCGUUAUCCGGAGUUACUGGGCGUAAAGCGUGCGCAGGCGGAUGGGUAAGUGGGUCGUGAAAGCCUCCGGCUAAACUGGGGGAGGACGAUACAGACUGCUCAUCUAGAGGCGGAUAGAGGGGUGCGGAAUUCCGGGUGUAGCGGUGAAAUGUGUAGAGAUCCGGAGGAACACCAGUGGUGCAAACGGCGCCCUGGGUCCGAACUGACGCUGAGGCACGAAAGCGUGGGGAGCGAACGGG